AAAGCAGCUCCAUCCAGCUGAGGAUUCAAUCGUCCAGCUGACUGAUCGAAGUGGGACAGAUCUCUACUCGCUCGCCUACAAACACACAAGAUGACCAUCGCUGUCUUUAUCAUCUUCAUGGCCACUCUUGCCCUUGUUGAUGGUUUGAAUCCUGCAUCUUGUAGAGACAGUAACGAUGUGUUCGUCAAAUUUCGAUGCAAACACUACAUUCAGGGGAGCAUUCCUAAAGAUGACGCUGCCUGGAAAACAUCUGAAACCAAAUGGCGUCCUGUCCAUUUUGGAGAAGAAAACCGCAAGUAAGCCAACCUGGACUGGUCCACACUGUCCUUACUUGAAGAGUUAAAACAUUUUUAGAGGCGUUAGAAGACAUUGGAGUCCAGAUCCAAACCUCUGUCAAGCUUAGCUUAAUUAGGCCUUUUUUGCUUACAUGACAAUAUGUUAUGUUGUUCUUAUGCUGCAUUAUAACACCGGUUACUUAUUGACCUCGGUCAUUAUAACUUGUGGCUACAUGGGAUUAACACGUAGAUUCUCGGCUAUUUUCAAUUUAAUCAGAAACUGUACACACACCUGUUUGUUGAAAGUUUAUCAUCAUCUUACCUCAAAGUAAAUUGGUUGAUUGUCUAUAUUAAACUGUUGGUUAUCAUUUUUUGUGAUGUGCCAAUUCAGAUAAAUGUCAGUCUGUGAAAAUCUAUCAAACUAGACUAAGCGUUAUUUGACCCAAAAAGGUCACAUAUCAAAGGAUCUACCAAGCACCAUCAAAGUUUCCUUUCUAAGAAUUUAAUAUUCCCCACAACUGUGUGUACUUUCUCUGUUACUGAAAAUGUUUGUGAAGCUGUAUUCAAAUCCUGUUUGUGUUUCUUAAAAUAUUGUCAAAUAAAGGGCUUGAAGCUGCAUCUAUCAAUA